GUGCUUGCUUUGGCAGCACAUAUACUAAAACUGGAAUGAUACAGAGAAGAUUAGCGUGGCCCCUGUGCAGGAUGACAGGGGCACGUUCACGAGCGGUCCAUAUUUUGU
ensembl:snRNA U6 U6 spliceosomal RNA